UUUAAAAAACCUGCGUCUUAUCACGCUCUCGCUUCCUUUCCGGACGCAGCAGAAAGGAGAAGGUGAGGUGCGGACGGCGGAGCAGCAGAAGUUCAGGGGCGGCGCGGCGGAGAGAAGUUGAGUGGCCGAGCCCUUGCCGCCGGACGGCUACAGCCGUCUCCUGCUUCCUUUCCAGCCGCGGCAGAGCAGGAGAAGUUGAGGGGCGGGCGGAGCAGGAGAGGUUCAGGCGCGGCGCGGCAGGCGGAGCAAGAGAGGUUCAGGCGCGGCGCGGCGGAGCAGGAGAGGUUCAGGGGCGGUGCCGACGGAGCAGCAGUGGUUCAGGGGCGGUGCCCUUGUCGACGGACGGCUACAGCCGUGGCGGAGCACAAGGCGGGAGAGGUUCAGGGGCGGGUCGGCACUGGCCUGGCCGGGAACGCGGGCUGCCUGGAGGUGCUCAUCGCCUCGCCGUGGUCCUGAAGCCCCUCAAGCAUCUCCUGCCCGCGUGGCCGCCAUAGCACUGUUGUUGGAUGGGUGUGGCUUCUGCUGAAUUUUCGUCACCCUGAGCUUCUGGCGAGUUUGCUCCCCUGAGCCAUAACAGAGGGAGUGAGAAGGGAGAAGAGGAAAAAAGACCUUGCUGAUCGAGACGAUAUUGACACCAUUUUUUGUGUGUUGGAGCGAUUUGAACCAUGGCAACCAGAGUGAUUUGUUAGGUGUGUAUCUAUAUUGCAUUCUGUACAACAAGAGAUUUGGUUACUUCUCUUUUACAAAACUAGAUUAUGUGGGACGUUGCCAUUUGCUGAAACAAUUACGGUAGAGUAUUACUGUACAUCACUAUCACUUUUAGUAACUUCAUUCAUGACACCUUUGAACCAUUCAAAUGAGCCUUGUUCCCUGGCUAAUCCAAUUGAAGUUUGGUCGGCUUGGCCCGUUGCUCUUGAAGGUGUUGCCAAACUCCUCUUCAUGCAUGCUUUACUGCUCCUGUUGAAUCCAAUUCAUUUUGGACAUUGUGCAUCUAUACUCAUGUAUGAGAAAGAGCUUUCAAUGAUUUAGUUACUUUAUUGGACUUUAUGUUGUUCAGGAGAUCCUUCACUAUGCUGAUGAAAGAGUUGCACCAAUUCCAAAGCUGAUAAGCAAAAGGAUGACAUAUUUUUUGCAAUUUUGAGAUGGUGCACUGAAAGGGCCAUCAAUAAAAAUCUAGCAAAUCUAAAUGAAGACAGCCAAGUCACUUAGGUUAGUGAGGAGGUGCAACAGCAUGAGUUCGGAUUUUCUCCACUUGCAUAUGUUUUUCUAUUGAUUUAUUGUAUCAAAAUUGUCAAGUAGUCAAUUAGUGAUGGCACAUGUUUUCUGAUUCUUGCAUAUUUGAGAGAGGCAAACUGCACGUGGGAUUGAUGAUCAGGCAUUAAUUCAAUGCCAGCCUCAUUGCCAUUAGUUUUGGGUAGAAUUUUUAUUAGCUGAACAUUCCUUCUGAUUAGGACCUGAUGAUGAUCCAAGACGGUGUAACAAGAUAAUGUAGUACGAGAGUAUUUCACAAAUCACAAUCUCUGAAGAAGACUAUGCACUACUACACAGAAUUAUAUAGACUGGCACUUGAUCUAUACAGUACUGAAUAAUUCAUUCAGUUCAAGCUAUGUAUCUACGGAACAAGAAUUAUCUCGUAACAAAAAAUAGUUGGUACAAAGUUGUCAUCUUGGUUAUUAUUACCCUUAAUGGCAUUAACGAUGUUAGUAGCUACAGCCUACAUAUGUGUGCCAUAAGAGAGUGUAAGCCUCGUGGUGCGUUGAUACUGUAGCUGCCACUCCAAAAGGUUCCAUUGACCUUAUACAUCACUUCCAUCUGUUUGAUUCAUUUUGGUUCAUGACAACUGGCCUCUAAAGCUUGUGUCAUGUAGUCCAUCAACUAAAUGUGCUGUAUUAGGAUGUCUAAUUCUUAAGUGUAACCAGGGAUCAGUUUUAUUUGAUUUGAAUUAACAAGAUGGCUUGUACAUUAUUUAUAAUGAUUAUAGAUAUUAUGAUCUCAGUCGCUUGAUUUGAAGGCCGCAAAUUUAUUAUCCCGUUGCAACGUACGGGCCAUUUUGCUACUGUUUGCCGACGAGAAUAUGCCAGUCACAAGUUACAUGUUGCUGCCGUCGGCUGGUGAUUCUUUUGCUACUUCAGGGGCCACCAGCGGCACCUGCUGCGAACUAUUGCAUUGCUGGUUUGUGUCUCUGGGACUGUUUCGCAAAUCAUGUCAAUGAGACUAGCAAUUUGAAGAGACAUGGUCUGAAGAUAUUUGCAUAUACAGUGCUGUAGAUUCUCCCACUGAACAUAUCAAAAUAGCAGGUUCCCUGAUCUUAUAAAUAAACAAUAUUAGUUAAUUGUUGAUAAUGUACUAAUAACCUCAUUUGCAUGUGCCUAACGCCCUAAUCUUUGAUCCAGCAGCAUUUUGGUAAGCAUAUCUUUGGCCCAAGUAAAAAAGAAGAGUUGAGCUUUCACUCUCUCUGGUUGGCUGAAGGUAUCUGGAGUUUAGCCCUGCUGCAGUGUAAGGAAAGCCAUGACCUCCAAAUAGACUGUGCAUAUGAACCAAGGAUAACAGAAACAAGCUAUGCUUGCAACUCAGUUUUCAGGUAUCUUCCCCAACGAAUAUUGCCCUGGUACUGACAGGUUGUCAGUACAUAUCUUGGUGUGGACUUCACCAGCCGUUCAACUUUUCACUCCAUUAUAUAUUCAGAGACCACUGAUUACUCACCCCAGCCAAUAUAUGGUUCACUGGAUCAUUGAUAGGUCACGAUUGACAAAGAUCAAACAUUUUGUGGAGAACUAGGGAAGAGAGAAAUGUUGCACUGUAGUUUGAUUGACACAGGUUCGCACAUAUACAACUUCGCUUAUAGCUUUGAUACUACUCAAAUAUUCAUGAAUGAUUUGCUUUCAUUUAUUUCUGUCGGGUUGAAUGUGAGGAACUUGAUUUAUUGAUAAUUUGAUGUAUGUGUGUUUACAUUGCAAUGAAGGCCAUGAUAGGCAUGUCAUAUGUUCAGGUAUGCGUAAUGAAAACUAUUUUUGUAGCAAGUUUCUAUGGAUGAUUACGAGCAAUCUUAUUCAAAAUCAAAUGUUCUCAUGUAUCAUUUUUGUUGUUAUGCAUGUAUAUUGCAGAGUAUGGCGGCCCCUAUUUUCAAGAAUUCAUACCUGAGAGCAGAUGUGUUAGUUACUACUGUAGUAUUUAAAUUCUUCAAAUUUAAAGGUGGAUAUCUAGCGGAAGGACGAGACAUUGCCGGUGGAGAGUAUUGUCAGGCCAAAGACCCAUAUAUCGUGGCAUUAGUUGUCGAUUAGGAAGUUUAGUAUGCAGGUGGAGAUGACAUGAUUUUUUUUCUUCUUUAUAUUGAAAUCGUCUAGCGGCAUUUUACAUGUUAACCAUGUUUUUUUGCUGAAUCUGUUCAAAUCUUCGAUCAGAAUUUUGUGGAAAGAAAAGGUGAACCAUUAUUCCAUCUAUAUAGGAUUGUAGAAUGUUGUUCAGUUAAUAAUAUUUCAUUGUUGUUGUA